rnacentral:misc_RNA from 1 species
ACCUUGACGUUAGAAGAUAAUAUAAAUUUUUGAGUAGCAUUGUCUUUUAACGUCAGGAUGUCUAUUAAGAGUGUAUGGUGUUGGA